UGCAGGCUUCACCGUCGGCUCUGCCUUUCCCUUCCUGCUGCUUCUCAUCACCCCUGCACUGAGGCCCUCCUGAGUUCAGAUUCAAUCUGCUCACCGUUUGCCUGGCCCCUGCAGCUUGCCAGGAGCUCUGUACACAGAGCACAACUAAAUGGCUCUCAGGAAUAUUUUGAAGGCAUUUCUUUCCCAACAUGUCACAACCCAGUGCUUUACCAGAGCAUGAUGUUUGGCGAGUAAUGGGCUGUGUGUGGGGCCAUCAGCUUUCUUCCCCAUGCAGUAUAGCUAUAGGCUUUGUCUUC
rnacentral:lncRNA from 1 species